GACGAACGCUGGCGGCGUGCCUAAUACAUGCAAGUAGAACGCUGAAGGAGGAGCUUGCUUCUCUGGAUGAGUUGCGAACGGGUGAGUAACGCGUAGGUAACCUGCCUGGUAGCGGGGGAUAACUAUUGGAAACGAUAGCUAAUACCGCAUAAGAGUAGAUGUUGCAUGACAUUUGCUUAAAAGGUGCAAUUGCAUCACUACCAGAUGGACCUGCGUUGUAUUAGCUAGUUGGUGAGGUAACGGCUCACCAAGGCGACGAUACAUAGCCGACCUGAGAGGGGGAUCGGCCACACUGGGACUGAGACACGGCCCAGACUCCUACGGGAGGCGGCAGUAGGGAAUCUUCGGCAAUAGACGGAAGUCUGACCGAGCAACGCCGCGUGAGUGAAGAAGGGUUUCGGAUCGUAAAGCUCGGUUGUAAGAGAAGAACGAGUGUGAGAGUGGAAAGUUCACACUGUGACGGUAUCUUACCAGAAAGGGACGGCUAACUACGUG
rnacentral:rRNA from 1 species